GUAAUACUCCCUCCGUCCGGAAAUACUUGUCCUAGAAAUCGUUGUAUCUAAACUUAAUUUAGUUAUUAGAUACAUCCAUUUUAUCCAUUUCUAGGACAAGUAUUUCAGAGCAGAGGAAGUAUUUC
rfam:Triticum urartu cultivar G1812 contig1033288, whole genome shotgun sequence.